AGUGAACGCUGGCGGUAGGCCUAACACAUGCAAGUCGAACGGCAGCACAGUAAGAGCUUGCUCUUACGGGUGGCGAGUGGCGGACGGGUGAGGAAUACAUCGGAAUCUACUUUUUCGUGGGGGAUAACGUAGGGAAACUUACGCUAAUACCGCAUACGACCUACGGGUGAAAGCAGGGGACCUUCGGACCUUGCGCGAUUGAAUGAGCCGAUGUCGGAUUAGCUAGUUGGCGGGGUAAAGGCCCACCAAGGCGACGAUCCGUAGCUGGUCUGAGAGGAUGAUCAGCCCAACUGGAACUGAAACACGGUCCAGACUCCUACGGGAGGCAGCAGUGGGGAAUAUUGGACAAUGGGCGCAAGCCUGAUCCAGCCAUACCGCGUGGGUGAAGAAGGCCUUCGGGUUGUAAAGCCCUUUUGUUGGGAACGAAAAGCAGCAGGUUAAUACCCCGCUGUUCUGACGGUACCCAAAGAAUAAGCACCGGCUAACUUCGUG
rnacentral:rRNA from 1 species